rnacentral:rRNA from 1 species
UACGAGAGGCCCAAACGUUAUUCGGAAUUACUGGGCUUAAAGAGUUCGUAGGCGGCAUUGCAAGUAGGGUGUGAAAGCCCUCGGCUCAACCGAGGGAUUGCGCUCUAAACUGCAGUGCUUGAGGAACCUAGAGGUGAGCAGAACAGAUGGUGGAGCGGUGAAAUGCGUUGAUAUCAUCUGGAAUACCGGAGGCGAAGGCGGCUCACUGGGAGUUUUCUGACGCUGAGGAACGAAAGCCGGGGUAGCGAACGGG